rnacentral:tRNA from 1 species
GUGCCUUUAGCUCAGCCGGAUAGAGCAACUGCCUUCUAAGCAGUAGGUCGGGGGUUCGAAUCCCUCAAGGCACGCCA